AGGACGAACGCUGGCGGCGUGCUUAACACAUGCAAGUCGAGCGGAAAGGCCCUUCGGGGUACUCGAGCGGCGAACGGGUGAGUAACACGUGAGUAACCUGCCCCUAGCUCUGGGAUAGCUCCGGGAAACCGGGAUUAAAUACCAGAUACGACCACUUUAGACAUCUGUCGUGGUGGAAAGGAUUCCGGCUAGGGAUGGGCUCGCGGCCUAUCAGCUUGUUGGUGGGGUAACGCCUACCAAGGCGACGACGGGUA
rnacentral:rRNA from 1 species